UACGUAGGGUGCAAGCGUUGUCCGGAAUUAUUGGGCGUAAAGAGCUCGUAGGCGGUCUGUCGCGUCUGCUGUGAAAAUCCAGGGCUCAACCCUGGACCUGCAGUGGGUACGGGCAGACUAGAGUGCGGUAGGGGAGAUCGGAAUUCCUGGUGUAGCGGUGAAAUGCGCAGAUAUCAGGAGGAACACCGGUGGCGAAGGCGGGUCUCUGGGCCGUAACUGACGCUGAGGAGCGAAAGCAUGGGGGGCGAACAGG
rnacentral:rRNA from 1 species